UACGAAGGGUGCAAACGUUGCUCGGAAUUAUUGGGCGUAAAGCGCACGUAGGCGGCUUUUCAAGUCCCAUGUGAAAGCCCACGACUUAACCGUGGAAGUGCAUGGGAAACUGGAAGCUUGAGUACUUAAGAGGAUCGCGGAAUUCCCGGUGUAGAGGUGAAAUUCGUAGAUAUCGGGAGGAACACCAGUGGCGAAGGCGGCGAUCUGGGAAGAUACUGACGCUGAGGUGCGAAAGCGUGGGGAGCAAACAGGG
rnacentral:rRNA from 1 species